rnacentral:rRNA from 1 species
GUACGCUGGCGGCACGCCUAACACAUGCAAGUCGAACGAAGUAGCAAUACUUAGUGGCAGACGGGUGAGUAACAUGUGGGUAUCUACCCUUUGGCCUGGAAUAACACGAGGAAACUUGUGCUAAUACCGGAUAAGUCUUUACGGAGAAAGCUUUAUGCACCAUUGGAUGAGCCUGCACUUGAUUAGUUAGUUGGUGGGGUAAUGGCCUACCAAGACUUUGAUCAAUAGCUGAUUUGAGAGGAUGAUCAGCCACAUUGGGACUGAGACACGGCCCAAACUCCUACGGGAGGCAGCAGUGGGGAAUCUUGCACAAUGGAGGAAACUCUGAUGCAGCGAUGCCGCGUGAGUGAAGAAGGCCUUUGGGUUGUAAAGCUCUUUCGUCGGGGAAGAAAAUGACUGUACCCGAAUAAGAAGGUCCGGCUAACU